AUGAGAGAAAUUGGUAUGGACUACAUUAGGGAUGGCCAACUGGUGGCCCGCGGUUUUGAAGGCCCUUGGAUCAAUUCUCUACCUCAAAACAGAGGUAGAAUAGUAGAAUACACAAGUUGCAAUUUCACAUUUUUGUUGAGCUUCAACAGUUUUUCUCUUGUUAUGUCAGUCAUUGAUAGCUGACAAUGGAUAAUUGAGUGACUAAGAGUUUUUAAAUUGUCAAAUUCGUCUAGUGGUCAGCUAUACAAAUUUAUUGUAACCAAGGUUGAAUUAGAGCCCAGGGAGAACCCAUUGAUUUUCUUCGUCAAUCUCACUCAGAUCAUAUGAAAAACUGCAAGCAUUUCUCUCCACCCUAUGACACAAUUUCUAUUUAUUUAUUUCACCUUUAUUUAACCAGGUAGGCCAGUUGAGAACAAGUUCUCAUUUACAACUGCGACCUGGCCAAGAUAAAGAAAAGCAGUGCGACAAAAACAACAGAGUUACACAUAGGAUAAACAAACGUACAGUCAGUAACACAAUAGAAAAAUCUGUAUACAGUGUGUGCAAAUUAAGUAAGGAGGUACGGCAAAAAAAAUAGGCCAAUAGUGGCAAAGUAAUUACAAUUUAGCAAUUUACACUGGAGUGAUAGAUGUGCAGAUGAGGUUGUACAAGUAGAAAUACUGGUGUGCACAAGAGCAGAAAAACAAAAACAAAUAUGGGGAUGAGGUAGGUAGUUGGUUGGAUGGGCUAUUUACAGAUGGGCUGUGUACAGCUGCAGCGAUUGGUAAGCUGCUAUGACAAGUGACGCUUAAAGUUAGUGAGGGAGAUAUAAGUCUCCAGUUUCAGUGAUUUUUGCAAUUCAUUCCAGUCAUUGGCAGUAGAGAACUGGAAGGAAAGGCGUCCAAAUUA
rnacentral:lncRNA from 13 species